CAGCCGCCGCGGUAAUACGUAGGUGGCAAGCGUUGUCCGGAAUUAUUGGGCGUAAAGGGCUCGCAGGCGGUUUCUUAAGUCUGAUGUGAAAGCCCCCGGCUUAACCGGGGAGGGUCAUUGGAAACUGGGAAACUUGAGUGCAGAAGAGGAGAGUGGAAUUCCACGUGUAGCGGUGAAACGCGUAGAGAUGUGGAGGAACACCAGUGGCGAAGGCGACUCUCUGGUCUGUAACUGACGCUGAGGAGCGAAAGCGUGGGGAGCGAACAGGAUUAGAUACCCCCGUAGUCCCUGUCUCUUAUAC
rnacentral:rRNA from 1 species